UACGGAGGUGGCAAGCGUUACUCGGAUUUACUGGGUGUAAAGGGCACGUAGGUGGUCCUCUAAGCCCUGCCUUAAAUGCUCCGGCUCAACCGGAGUAUGUGGCAGGGGACUGCAGGACUUGAGGGCUGGAGAGGCAGGCGGAAUUCCCGGUGUAAGGGUGAAAUCUGUAGAUAUCGGGAGGAACACCAGUGGCGAAAGCGGCCUGCUGGCCAGCUCCUGACACUGAGGUGCGAAAGCUAGGGGAGCAAACAGG
rnacentral:rRNA from 1 species